GGGCCCGUAGCUCAGCUGGUUAGAGCAGCCGACUCAUAAUCGGUAGGUCCCUGGUUCGAGUCCAGGCGGGCCCAUCA
rnacentral:tRNA from 1 species